UCAGACAAUCUGCACAAAUGCUCUACCAUGGCGUUUUCACGUUCUGUUUCCUCAACAACCCCGCAUUGCUCAUCUUAGGGCCUUUGCAUUUUGGGGUCAAACUUGGAAGUCAAGUCUGCACUCCCACUAGACAGUGUUAGCUGGGAAGGUCACUGAGAGCCUCUGAUGUUGACUGUUCUCAUCUGUUCUAUGGAGUCCUCAUUGACAAUGCUUAAGGCUGCUGUGGGAAACUGAGAGGAAGCACAGUGCCUGGUCAUCAAACUCACCCGUAAUCAUUAUUAACAUGAAUGUCAACAGUUCACAACAGUUCAUUGCUUCCUAAAGUGCUGGGACUACAGGUGUGCACUACCAGGUGUAGUUUUAGGCAGUGUUGAAGAUGGAACCGAGGUCCUCCUGCAUUCUAGUUUGUCUUCUCAUCUUAAAUAUGGAACAGUCAGGACAGUGGAAGAAGGCAAUUGCCCAAGGCUAUUUUGCAAGCUACUCACACAGCCCAGGCAUGGGUACAGUGAACUCUGAGGGCUGUUUUUGUCCUACAUAGCUACUUAAGAUAGCAUCAGCGUGGAUCCUGACCUCAUCUGGCUGAUAACGAACAAUUCCUGAUUGGGAGAUCAGUGCUGGCCUGAGGAGCCUGAGGUAGGCGGUACGGAAGGGGCCUCAGUGUUGACUCCCUGCCUGGAGAAGAACUGUCAGAAAAGGUCUCACGGAGGGGCCUCGGGGUUUUUCAGUUCCUCCACUAUCAGGGUCUUCUAUACUUUUGAGGUGUUAUUUUGUUGUGAGAAUCCUGGUCACCCCUAUUUUUCUAGGGCAGUGAAAUCUCACCCUGGGUCCUAUUUGAGAUUGGUAAGAUGACCAGCGAUGCUCAAAUAGAAAAGCAUUUUGAACACACCAUCAAUGUGUGUGUGUGUGUGUGUGUG